rnacentral:rRNA from 1 species
AUUGAACGCUGGCGGUAUGCUUAACACAUGCAAGUCGAACGGCAGCACGAGAAAGCUUGCUUUCUUGGUGGCGAGUGGCGGACGGGUGAGUAAUGCAUAGGAAUCUACCUCGAAGCGGGGGAUAACCCGGGGAAACUCGGGCUAAUACCGCAUAAUCUCUACGGAGGAAAGCAGGGGAUCUUCGGACCUUGCACUUUGAGAUGAGCCUAUGUCAGAUUAGCUAGUUGGUAGGGUAAAGGCCUACCAAGGCAAUGAUCUGUAGCUGGUCUGAGAGGACGAUCAGCCACACUGGGACUGAGACACGGCCCAGACUCCUACGGGAGGCAGCAGUGGGGAAUAUUGGACAAUGGGCGCAAGCCUGAUCCAGCAAUACCGCGUGUGUGAAGAAGGCCUUCGGGUUGUAAAGCACUUUCAGUAGGGAGGAAAGGCUCAGAGCUAAUAUCUCUGAGAGUUGACGUUACCUACAGAAGAAGCACCGGCUAACUCUGUG